AUGGCCUGGCCUCUCGUCUGUCUCUCACUGCUCUCCUUCUGCUCAGGCUCCCUCUCCCAGGCUGUGGUGACUCAGCCUCCCUCUGUGUCUGCAGCCCUGGGGAGCUCGGCCAGACUCUCCUGCACCCUGAGCAGUGCGUCCAGUGGUAAUACUGUUGGUUGGCACCAGCAGAGCCCAGGAAAGGCCCCUCGGUCCCUCCUGUAUGUCACCAGCAGUGGAGGUACCAGCAGGGCCGACGGGAUCCCUGAGCGCUUCUCUGGCUCCGGAUCUGGGACGAACCGAUUCCUGUCCAUCAGCAACGUCGAGCCCGAGGAUGAAGCCGAUUAUUUCUGCCAGUCGUAUUACUAUGAUAGUGGUAGCUAUCCUUCUACACAGUGAUACAUUCAGUGAGGAAGUGGGACAAAAACCUCCUUGUCAGGCCUGCAGCAGCUUCUCGCUUGUCCCCAGGCUCCUGAGCAAGGCCAGGGUGCUGCUAGGGGAGAGUCAGCUGUUCUUUCUCUCUUUGUCUGCAUGUCUCUGUCUCCUUGUCUUUCUCUUCCCUCCCCAUCUCUUUCUCUCCCUCUCUGUCUUUCUCCCUACGCCCUAUAGUCUCUCCCAGGCUCUUGCCUCUUUUUCUUUGCACCUAUAUCUUUGUCUCUCUCUCCCUGCACUCAUUUGGGUCCUGGCUUAUGUUUUUCUGUCCCUUUCCUUCUGUCUGUCUGUCUCUAUUUCAUCCAGUUCAUUAGUGACUUGCCCAAGGUCACACAGAUUAAAGCUGGAAUUCAGGUCUUCUCACCCCAUCACCAGUACUUCCCUCCAUGUCCCAGCCUCCUUUGAGAUGACCAAGACACCAGAGGAGUGUAUUUAGUUGAGCCUUCAGGGCUGAGGAUUUGGCUGGUGGAGAGGAGCUGAGAGGAAGCUCCCUGCCAUGCUCUGGCUGUGGCUGUUGGGAAUAGAAUCUUGUUUGUAUGAGGGGAUCCCUUGAACCCCUGACAGUGCUCACGAGGCCAUGACCAGAGACACCCUCCAGGGGAAGAAAAGGGGAAAUGAAAUAAUCAGGAAGGAAAUGGGAAGAGAGGAGACAGAGGCAGCUGCUGACAGUCCCUGCGCCAUGUUGUACACCUUGUGGCCAAGCGCCCACACCUCUACAAGCCUUGACAAACAUCCCCUGAGGAGAGGCUGAAUCCUGAGGACUAGAAAGCCUGCCUGGAGACUGGAAAAUCAGCCACAUCAUUCCCCAACUAAUGAAUGGAAUUCAUUUGGUUUAGGUUUAGGUUGUAACUUUACCUGUCCAUCAAAUGUUCCUGACAUACCACAGUUGCUCCAUGUUUGUGUUGGCUUGCGUAGUUCUGUAUGUCAAUAAAAGUUAAGGUUGGGGGCCAAACCAGGGAGACCAACAAGAGACAACGAGAAGACCAUGGGAGAAGCAUGAGGAGAAGAGACAGUGCAGGAGGUGAGGGGAAAUGAGAAAGGAACGACAGGCUAGGCUCCAUGCAGUCAGGUUACUUAGGAAUGAUUGUCUACCCUUCCUAAUAAAACUUUAUAAAAUAUAUAUCUCUGGGUAGCAAGAAAUAUUAUUUAAUUUUAAUUAUUACAAUACUCUGUUGAUGGAACUGUCAACUCCUCCAUCCAGUCGAAAGUGCGAUCUGGAGGAAUGGCCAAAAAGGAAGGAAGGAAGGAAGGAAGGAAGGAAGGA